rnacentral:rRNA from 1 species
GGACCUGACUGCUAUCGGAUUGAUACUAAGCCAUGCGAGUCAUUGUAGCAAUACAAGGCAUACGGCUCAGUAACGCGUAGUCAACCUAACCUAUGGACGGGAAUAGCCUCGGGAAACUGAGAAUAAUGCCCGAUAGAACAUUAUGCCUGGAAUGGUUUAUGUUCCAAAUGAUUUAUCGCCGUAGGAUGGGACUGCGGCCUAUCAGUUUGUUGGUGAGGUAAUGGCCCACCAAGACUAUUACAGGUACGGGCUCUGAGAGGAGUAGCCCGGAGAUGGGUACUGAGACACGGACCCAGGCCCUAUGGGGCGCAGCAGGCGAGAAAACUUUGCAAUGUGCGAAAGCACGACAAGGUUAAUCUGAGUGGUUUCUGCUAAAGAAACCUUUUGUCAGUCCUAGAAACACUGAUGAAUAAGGGGUGGGCAAGUUCUGGUGU